AGCUAAACCAUCUAAUCUUUCUUUUUUCUUGUAUGCAAACUGUUAUGAAGACCACUUCUGAAGUGAAUAUACUACUCAGACCUAUGGACUUGAGGACUUUGUGAAAGCAAUUAUCCAGGAAGACUGAAAGUGAAGAAAAGGGAGGUGCAUCACCCUCUGAGGGGAGAGAGAAACCCCAAGAUGUUUCUGUGUGUUGGUCUCCAGGCAGCUCACUUCAUUCUCCUGUCACUAGCAGAGGAGGCUGUAGCUGACAGGCAGAGAAGAUCAUGGAGCUGAAGAGUCCGAGAUCUGUCCCAGCCGAGGAUCUCAGCACAGACAACUUGAAAAUAAUGGAUGUGCACUUGUGGUCCUCCUGAGCUCCUAGUGGAUCCUGCUUCUGGGCAGAGGCUUG